UAGGGAAUCUUCGGCAAUGGGGGCAACCCUGACCGAGCAACGCCGCGUGAGUGAAGAAGGUUUUCGGAUCGUAAAGCUCUGUUGUAAGUCAAGAACGAGUGUGAGAGUGGAAAGUUCACACUGUGACGGUAGCUUACCAGAAAGGGACGGCUAACUACGUGCCAGCAGCCGCGGUAAUACGUAGGUCCCGAGCGUUGUCCGGAUUUAUUGGGCGUAAAGCGAGCGCAGGCGGUUUGAUAAGUCUGAAGUUAAAGGCUGUGGCUCAACCAUAGUUCGCUUUGGAAACUGUCAAACUUGAGUGCAGAAGGGGAGAGUGGAAUUCCAUGUGUAGCGGUGAAAUGCGUAGAUAUAUGGAGGAACACCGGUGGCGAAAGCGGCUCUCUGGUCUGUAACUGACGCUAAGGCUCGAAAGCGUGGGGAGCGAACAGGAUUAGAUACCCUGGUAGUCCACGCCGUAAACGAUGAGUGCUAGGUGUUGGAUCCUUUCCGGGAUUCAGUGCCGCAGCUAACGCAUUAAGCACUCCGCCUGGGGAGUACGACCGCAAGGUUG
rnacentral:rRNA from 1 species